rnacentral:lncRNA from 1 species
CUUCAAGAACACGUCUUUCAGGGAGAAAAGUCUUUUCAAGCUGUUGGUUCUUAUGUACUUCAUUGUAAUAUUAGUGGAAAGUGAAGCAGAGCACUCUGUUUCAUGCAGAGGAAGUAAAAAAGAAAAGAAAAGAAGAAACUUACUCUUUAUUGUUGUGUGCCUUAGUAUUAAAAUGAGUGAGAGAGAGAGAGAGUCAAAGAAAUGUUGUGCCUUUGUUUUUAGCUUUAAAGAGAGGAGUGAGUCAAGGUGAAGAAGAGCGACGGUGGCUGUGUGUGUAUGCGUG